rnacentral:rRNA from 1 species
UACGUAGGGUGCAAGCGUUAAUCGGAAUUACUGGGCGUAAAGCGUGCGCAGGCGGUGAUGUAAGACAGGUGUGAAAUCCCCGGGCUUAACCUGGGAACUGCAUUUGUGACUGCAUUGCUGGAGUGCGGCAGAGGGGGAUGGAAUUCCGCGUGUAGCAGUGAAAUGCGUAGAUAUGCGGAGGAACACCGAUGGCGAAGGCAACCCCCUGGGCCUGCACUGACGCUCAUGCACGAAAGCGUGGGGAGCAAACAGG